rnacentral:lncRNA from 1 species
ACCGUCACGGUCACUUGCAAGCAACUAACUGCACUUAGGCACUGGACUACCUGAAUUUCUAAUUCAGUGACGGAAGGUUGUUGGGUGUAGUCAAGUACUUGACUUGUCGGUGCGUGUGUCAAGAUAGGAUUGAACACUCCAGUUUAGGAGCUGUAUACAGUCGUGUUUCAAUUUAGCAAAAUCUUGGCCAGGAUAGUCCUUGUGAGGAGUCACAGGACUAUUUGAGUUGAGCACGAUUCAGAUGAUCUGAUCAGGGUUGACAGUUUAACCCUGAGUCAUCCUAAACACAGGGGUCAAAA